rnacentral:rRNA from 1 species
UACGGGGGGGGCAAGCGUUGUUCGGAAUUACUGGGCGUAAAGGGCUCGUAGGCGGUUUGUCGCGUCGGGAGCGAAAACACUGGGCUUAACUCAGUGCUUGCUUCCGAUACGGGCAGACUAGAGGUAUGCAGGGGAGAACGGAAUUCCUGGUGUAGCGGUGAAAUGCGCAGAUAUCAGGAGGAACACCGGUGGCGAAGGCGGUUCUCUGGGCAUUACCUGACGCUGAGGAGCGAAAGUGUGGGGAGCGAACAGG